rnacentral:rRNA from 1 species
AUUGAACGCUGGCGGCAUGCUUUACACAUGCAAGUCGAACGGCAGCGCGGGCUUCGGCCUGGCGGCGAGUGGCGAACGGGUGAGUAAUGCAUCGGAACGUGCCCAGUAGUGGGGGAUAGCCCGGCGAAAGCCGGAUUAAUACCGCAUACGACCUGAGGGUGAAAGCGGGGGACCGAAAGGCCUCGCGCUAUUGGAGCGGCCGAUGUCGGAUUAGCUAGUUGGUUAGGUAAAGGCUUACCAAGGCGACGAUCCGUAGCUGGUCUGAGAGGACGACCAGCCACACUGGGACUGGAACACGGUCCAGGCGACUACGGGAGGCACCAGGAUGGAAUCUUGCGCGAGGGGCGAAAGCCGGACGGAGCCACGCCGCGUGAGGGAUGAAGGCCUUCGGAUCGUAAAACGGGGUUAUUGGGGAAGAACAAAUGGGUAAGUAACUGUGCACAGCUUGACGGUACCGAAUUAGAAAGCCACAGCAAACUACGUG